GGUUAAGCGACUAAGCGUACACGGUGGAUGCCCUGGCAGUCAGAGGCGAUGAAGGGCGUGCUAAUCUGCGAUAAGCGCCGGUAAGGUGAUAUGAACCGUUAUAACCGGCGAUACCCGAAUGGGGAAACCCAGUGUGAUUCGUCACACUAUCAUUAACUGAAUCCAUAGGUUAAUGAGGCGAACCGGGGGAACUGAAACAUCUAAGUACCCCGAGGAAAAGAAAUCAACCGAGAUUCCCCCAGUAGCGGCGAGCGAACGGGGAGGAGCCCAGAGCCUGAAUCAGCAUGUGUGUUAGUGGAAGCGUCUGGAAAGGCGCGCGAUACAGGGUGACAGCCCCGUACACAAAAGCGCAUGUGCUGUGAGCUCGAUGAGUAGGGCGGGACACGUGGUAUCCUGUCUGAAUAUGGGGGGACCAUCCUCCAAGGCUAAAUACUCCUGACUGACCGAUAGUGAACCAGUACCGUGAGGGAAAGGCGAAAAGAACCCCGGCGAGGGGAGUGAAAAAGAACCUGAAACCGUGUACGUACAAGCAGUGGGAGCACCCUUUUGGGUGUGACUGCGUACCUUUUGUAUAAUGGGUCAGCGACUUAUAUUCUGUAGCAAGGUUAACCGAAUAGGGGAGCCGGAGGGAAACCGAGUCUUAAUUGGGCGUUAAGUUGCAGGGUAUAGACCCGAAACCCGGUGAUCUAGCCAUGGGCAGGUUGAAGGUUGGGUAACACUAACUGGAGGACCGAACCGACUAAUGUUGAAAAAUUAGCGGAUGACCUGUGGCUGGGGGUGAAAGGCCAAUCAAACCGGGAGAUAGCUGGUUCUCCCCGAAAGCUAUUUAGGUAGCGCCUCGUGAAUUCAUCUCCGGGGGUAGAGCACUGUUUCGGCUAGGGGGCCAUCCCGGCUUACCAACCCGAUGCAAACUGCGAAUACCGGAGAAUGUUAUCACGGGAGACACACGGCGGGUGCUAACGUCCGUCGUGAAGAGGGAAACAACCCAGACCGCCAGCUAAGGUCCCAAAGUCAUGGUUAAGUGGGAAACGAUGUGGGAAGGCCCAGACAGCCAGGAUGUUGGCUUAGAAGCAGCCAUCAUUUAAAGAAAGCGUAAUAGCUCACUGGUCGAGUCGGCCUGCGCGGAAGAUGUAACGGGGCUAAACCAUGCACCGAAGCUGCGGCAGCGACGUUUAUGCGUUGUUGGGUAGGGGAGCGUUCUGUAAGCCUGCGAAGGUGGCCUGUGAGGGUUGCUGGAGGUAUCAGAAGUGCGAAUGCUGACAUAAGUAACGAUAAAGCGGGUGAAAAGCCCGCUCGCCGGAAGACCAAGGGUUCCUGUCCAACGUUAAUCGGGGCAGGGUGAGUCGACCCCUAAGGCGAGGCCGAAAGGCGUAGUCGAUGGGAAACGGGUUAAUAUUCCCGUACUUGGUGUUACUGCGAAGGGGGGACGGAGAAGGCUAUGUUGGCCGGGCGACGGUUGUCCCGGUUUAAGCGUGUAGGCUGGUUUUCCAGGCAAAUCCGGAAAAUCAAGGCUGAGGCGUGACGACGAGGCACUACGGUGCUGAAGCAACAAAUGCCCUGCUUCCAGGAAAAGCCUCUAAGCAUCAGGUAACAUCAAAUCGUACCCCAAACCGACACAGGUGGUCAGGUAGAGAAUACCAAGGCGCUUGAGAGAACUCGGGUGAAGGAACUAGGCAAAAUGGUGCCGUAACUUCGGGAGAAGGCACGCUGACACGUAGGUGAAGUGAUUUACUCAUGGAGCUGAAGUCAGUCGAAGAUACCAGCUGGCUGCAACUGUUUAUUAAAAACACAGCACUGUGCAAACACGAAAGUGGACGUAUACGGUGUGACGCCUGCCCGGUGCCGGAAGGUUAAUUGAUGGGGUCAGCGCAAGCGAAGCUCCUGAUCGAAGCCCCGGUAAACGGCGGCCGUAACUAUAACGGUCCUAAGGUAGCGAAAUUCCUUGUCGGGUAAGUUCCGACCUGCACGAAUGGCGUAAUGAUGGCCAGGCUGUCUCCACCCGAGACUCAGUGAAAUUGAACUCGCUGUGAAGAUGCAGUGUACCCGCGGCAAGACGGAAAGACCCCGUGAACCUUUACUAUAGCUUGACACUGAACAUUGAGCCUUGAUGUGUAGGAUAGGUGGGAGGCUUUGAAGUGUGGACGCCAGUCUGCAUGGAGCCGACCUUGAAAUACCACCCUUUAAUGUUUGAUGUUCUAACGUGGACCCGUUACCCGGGUUGCGGACAGUGUCUGGUGGGUAGUUUGACUGGGGCGGUCUCCUCCUAAAGAGUAACGGAGGAGCACGAAGGUUGGCUAAUCCUGGUCGGACAUCAGGAGGUUAGUGCAAUGGCAUAAGCCAGCUUGACUGCGAGCGUGACGGCGCGAGCAGGUGCGAAAGCAGGUCAUAGUGAUCCGGUGGUUCUGAAUGGAAGGGCCAUCGCUCAACGGAUAAAAGGUACUCCGGGGAUAACAGGCUGAUACCGCCCAAGAGUUCAUAUCGACGGCGGUGUUUGGCACCUCGAUGUCGGCUCAUCACAUCCUGGGGCUGAAGUAGGUCCCAAGGGUAUGGCUGUUCGCCAUUUAAAGUGGUACGCGAGCUGGGUUUAGAACGUCGUGAGACAGUUCGGUCCCUAUCUGCCGUGGGCGCUGGAGAACUGAGGGGGGCUGCUCCUAGUACGAGAGGACCGGAGUGGACGCAUCACUGGUGUUCGGGUUGUCAUGCCAAUGGCACUGCCCGGUAGCUAAAUGCGGAAGAGAUAAGUGCUGAAAGCAUCUAAGCACGAAACUUGCCCCGAGAUGAGUUCUCCCUGAGACUUAAAGUCUCCUGAAGGAACGUUGAAGACGACGACGUUGAUAGGCCGGGUGUGUAAGCGCAGCGAUGCGUUGAGCUAACCGGUACUAAUGAACCGUGAGGCUUAACCUU
rnacentral:rRNA from 1 species